rnacentral:lncRNA from 1 species
UGCUGGAUGCUUCAUGCCCUCAAUCACUGGACUUCAAGUUCUUCAGCUUUUGGACUCCUGGACUUACACCAGUGGUUUGCCAGGGGCUCUCGGGCCUUCACCACAGACUGAAGACUGCACUCUCAGCUUCCCCUCUUUUGAGGUUUGGGGACUCCGACUGGCUUCCCUGCUCCUCAGCUUGCACACGGCCUAUUGUGGGACUUCACUUUGUGAUUGUAGGUGGAGUCCCCCUACGUUGCCCAGACUGGUCUUGAACUCCAGGACUCAAGGGAUCCUCCCGCUAUGGCCUCCCAAAGUGUUGGGAUUACAGUUCUGGUGGCUGGAAUUUCAAGAUCAGAGUGCCAGCAGGUGCAGGUUCUAG